GACGAACGCUGGCGGCGUGCUUAACACAUGCAAGUCGAACGGAAAGGCCCUGCUUUUGUGGGGUGCUCGAGUGGCGAACGGGUGAGUAACACGCGAGUAACCUGCCCUUGACUUUGGGAUAACUUUAGGAAACUGGGGCUAAUACCCGAUAGGAGCUCCUGCUGCACGGUGGGGGUUGGAAAGUUUCGGCGGUUGGGGAUGGACUCGCGGCUUAUCAGCUUGUUGGUGGGGUAGUGGCUUACCAAGGCUUUGACGGGUAGCCGGCCUGAGAGGGUGACCGGCCACAUUGGGACUGAGAUACGGCCCAGACUCCUACGGGAGGCAGCAGUGGGGAAUAUUGCACAAUGGGCGGAAGCCUGAUGCAGCAACGCCGCGUGCGGGAUGACGGCCUUCGGGUUGUAAACCGCUUUCGCCUGUGACGAAGCGUGAGUGACGGUAAUGGGUAAAGAAGCACCGGCUAACUACGUG
rnacentral:rRNA from 1 species